CGUAUUUGACGUGCUUCACCGUACCAAACUCACCUUCUUACUUGUAAUUUAUUUUGCUUUCACUUACCUAUUAAUUUGUUUUUCUUCAAUUUCAUUGUACCUUAAAAGUUUUCCAAUUUGUUUAUAUAUUAUUUAUAAUAUAAAUAUUUGGAAAGAGGAGAACUAUAAUUUUAAUAACAGAAAACAGGCAAUCCACCUAUCAAACCUCC
rnacentral:lncRNA from 1 species